CAGAAGUGCGAAUGCUGACAUAAGUAACGAUAAAGCGGGUGAAAAGCCCGCUCGCCGGAAGACCAAGGGUUCCUGUCCAACGUUAAUCGGGGCAGGGUGAGUCGACCCCUAAGGCGAGGCCGAAAGGCGUAGUCGAUGGGAAACAGGUUAAUAUUCCUGUACUUGGUGUUACUGCGAAGGGGGGACGGAGAAGGCUAUGUUGGCCGGGCGACGGUUGUCCCGGUUUAAGCGUGUAGGCUGGUUUUCCAGGCAAAUCCGGAAAAUCAAGGCUGAGGCGUGAUGACGAGGCACUACGGUGCUGAAGCAACAAAUGCCCUGCUUCCAGGAAAAGCCUCUAAGCAUCAGGUAACAUCAAAUCGUACCCCAAACCGACACAGGUGGUCAGGUAGAGAAUACCAAGGCGCUUGAGAGAACUCGGGUGAAGGAACUAGGCAAAAUGGUGCCGUAACUUCGGGAGAAGGCACGCUGAUAUGUAGGUGAAGUCCCUCGCGGAUGGAGCUGAAAUCAGUCGAAGAUACCAGCUGGCUGCAACUGUUUAUUAAAAACACAGCACUGUGCAAACACGAAAGUGGACGUAUACGGUGUGACGCCUGCCCGGUGCCGGAAGGUUAAUUGAUGGGGUCAGCGCAAGCGAAGCUCUUGAUCGAAGCCCCGGUAAACGGCGGCCGUAACUAUAACGGUCCUAAGGUAGCGAAAUUCCUUGUCGGGUAAGUUCCGACCUGCACGAAUGGCGUAAUGAUGGCCAGGCUGUCUCCACCCGAGACUCAGUGAAAUUGAACUCGCUGUGAAGAUGCAGUGUACCCGCGGCAAGACGGAAAGACCCCGUGAACCUUUACUAUAGCUUGACACUGAACAUUGAGCCUUGAUGUGUAGGAUAGGUGGGAGGCUUAGAAGUGUGGACGCCAGUCUGCAUGGAGCCGACCUUGAAAUACCACCCUUUAAUGUUUGAUGUUCUAACGUUGACCCGUAAUCCGGGUUGCGGACAGUGUCUGGUGGGUAGUUUGACUGGGGCGGUCUCCUCCUAAAGAGUAACGGAGGAGCACGAAGGUUGGCUAAUCCUGGUCGGACAUCAGGAGGUUAGUGCAAUGGCAUAAGCCAGCUUGACUGCGAGCGUGACGGCGCGAGCAGGUGCGAAAGCAGGUCAUAGUGAUCCGGUGGUUCUGAAUGGAAGGGCCAUCGCUCAACGGAUAAAAGGUACUCCGGGGAUAACAGGCUGAUACCGCCCAAGAGUUCAUAUCGACGGCGGUGUUUGGCACCUCGAUGUCGGCUCAUCACAUCCUGGGGCUGAAGUAGGUCCCAAGGGUAUGGCUGUUCGCCAUUUAAAGUGGUACGCGAGCUGGGUUUAGAACGUCGUGAGACAGUUCGGUCCCUAUCUGCCGUGGGCGCUGGAGAACUGAGGGGGGCUGCUCCUAGUACGAGAGGACCGGAGUGGACGCAUCACUGGUGUUCGGGUUGUCAUGCCAAUGGCACUGCCCGGUAGCUAAAUGCGGAAGAGAUAAGUGCUGAAAGCAUCUAAGCACGAAACUUGCCCCGAGAUGAGUUCUCCCUGACCCUUUAAGGGUCCUGAAGGAACGUUGAAGACGACGACGUUGAUAGGCCGGGUGUGUAAGCGCAGCGAUGCGUUGAGCUAACCGGUACUAAUGAACCGUGAGGCUUAACCUUACAACGCCGAAG
rnacentral:rRNA from 1 species